rnacentral:rRNA from 1 species
UACGUAGGGGGCGAGCGUUGUCCGGAAUUAUUGGGCGUAAAGAGCGUGUAGGCGGCCCCUUAAGUCCUGCGUGAAAUCCUGCGGCUCAACCGCAGACGGUCGUGGGAAACUGGAGGGCUAGAGUGCGGGAGAGGAGAGUGGAAUUCCCGGUGUAGCGGUGAAAUGCGCAGAUAUCGGGAAGAACACCCGUGGCGAAGGCGGCUCUCUGGAACGCAACUGACGCUGAGACGCGAAAGCGUGGGGAGCAAACAGG